rnacentral:misc_RNA from 1 species
AUGGGACGCAAGAAGAAGAAGCAGUCGAGGCCCUGGUGUUGGUAUUGUAAUAGAGAAUUUGAAGAUGAAAAAAUUCUGAUCCAGCACCAAAAAGCAAAACAUUUUAAAUGUCACAUUUGUCAUAAAAAACUUUACACGGGACCAGGACUUAGUAUACAUUGUAUGCAGGUGCAUAAAGAAGCAAUAGAUAAAGUACCUAAUUCUUUGCCAAAUCGUAGCAAUAUUGAAAUAGAAAUAUAUGGUAUGGAAGGUAUACCGCCAAAUGAUGCAAAAGAACAUGAAAGGCAAAGAAAUGGAGGUAGACCUGGUUCACCAAGUUCUGGUGAAGAUGAACCUGUACGCAAGAAAGCAAAACCAGAAGGUUUAUUGGGUUCUGCACCAGGAGCUAUACCUACAGGCUCUAACAUGAUGCCAGGUGUAAUGCCAGGUAUGGCAGCUCAUCCUGGUAUGCCACCAAUGGGACAGUUCCCACCACCCAUGCAUCAUAUGAUGGGACCUAUGGGUCCUGUAGGUCCACCUUUCAUGGGUCCUGGUAUGAUGCCUGGAAUGCCAGGUAUGCCUCCUGGCAUUCAACCACCAGUAUCAGGUGCAUCCAUACCACCAACACGACCAUUAUUUCCAAGUGCUGCAGCUGUUUCAACAGCAGCAUCUACUGCUGUGACUUCUCCCUUGGGCACAGAUUUUAAACCAAUUACAUCAGUGGCUGGUGGAUCCAUAGGUCCUGUUAAGCCAACAUUCCCUGCUUAUAGUAAUGCAGACAGUAAUACAGCUACUAGUAAUAAUAUUGGAAGUGAUCAGAAAGUAAAUCUUAUAGCAACUACUAGUGCUGCAAUUAAAAUCAUUCAUCCACCAGAAGACCUUAGCCUAGAGGAAAUUAGAGCAAGACUUCCAAAAUAUCAACGCCGACAAACUGAAGAAUCUCGAACUGUGCAAGCUGAUACCAGUCAACAAGCUGUUGCAUUACAACAGCAGCAGCAACAACAGCAACAACAAGCUGCUGCUGCUAAUGCAGCUGCUGCAUUUCAGGAUCAGCAGCAGCGACAACAAGCUGCGUUAAAUGCACUUCAACAACAACAACAAAGAUUUCAGAGACCACCACAAGCAGUAAUGGUUCCUGCAUCUGCAGCAAUGCCUGUUAGUUCUGUUGCAUUGAUGGCACCGCUUAUGCGGCCUACUAUGACUCUAGCUGCACCUGCUCUGAUUCAUGGAGGUAACAUGAUGCGACCGCCCCCCAUGGGCCUACCACCAGGGUACCCAGUCACUCCUUGGUGAGUGUUGAACGAACCCAGUGGUUACUAAAACCGUGUUUUAUACAAGUGCAACAAGGUGGGUCGAGCGGCCAACGAUAUUGCAUCUGUUCUGAUUCCUACAACGCCGGACAGCCAC